CUCCAGUCAUAUGCUUGUCUCAAAGAUUAAGCCAUGCAUGUCUCAGUACCUGCCGAUCUAAGGCGAAACCGCGAAUGGCUCAUUAAAUCAGUCAUGAUUCAUUGGAUGUUGUAAAAUCCUUACUCGGAUAACUGUGGUAAUUCUAGAGCUAAUACGUGCAACUAAAGCUCCGACCCCGCGAGUUUGCUUCUCGCUCUCUUUCGGGGGAAGGGCGCAUUUAUUAGACCAAAAACCGGGUGGCUUCGGCUUCACGGCCGAUGUCCUCCAAAACACGGUUUCGUGGUGACUCUGGAUAACUACAGCCGAGCGCUCAGGUCUCAGUACCGGCGCCGUAUCCUUCGAGUGUCUGCCUUAUCAGCUCUCGAUUGUAGGUUAUUCGCCUACAAUGGCUGUAACGGGUAACGGGGAAUCAGGGUUCGAUUCCGGAGAGGGAGCCUGAGAGACGGCUACCACAUCUAAGGAAGGCAGCAGGCACGCAAAUUACCCAAUCCCGGCUCGGGGAGGUAGUGACGAAAAAUAACGAUGCGGGACUCUUCCGAGGCCUCGCAAUCGGAAUGAGUUCA
rnacentral:rRNA from 1 species